GCUACCAUGAAGUGAACAGCCUCCUCCUCCACUACCCACAAUCACCAUGAUAUACUUUGCUACCACAGGCCCAAAGCAACAGGGCCAAGCAACCAUGAACUGGAACCUCUGAAACUAUUUCAUGGGGAGACAGUUACUGUCUUGCCUAUGAUGAAGAUAGCAGAAGAACAUGAACAAGAAAAGAAAUAUCCCCUAUCUAAAGGAACACUGUAAGCACUUGGAAAGAGAAGACAGCAGUCUGCAAUGACCUUGAUGAUUACUGCUGAAUCAAACCUUGCCAGCAGAAUCUGAAGAACACAGUUUUCUUCUUGAGUUAGAUUCUUGCUAUGUUGUCCAGGCUGCCAUCAAACUUCUGGGCUCAAAAAAAUCCUCCUGCUUCAGCCUCCUGAGUACCUGGGACAGAGGGAGCUGGCUUAAAAUUUCUAAGUAAUGUUGACAACGUGACUUGGUGUCUCUGGUGUGCUUAUACUAAAAUGUACAAAGACAAAGAUAACUUAAAAAUGGAAUUGUUAACCAAAAAACAAGCAGAACUUAAAAACAGAAAAUUUUCUCAGCCUAUCCAUACAGAAAAAAAUUAGUAAGAGAAAACAAAGGUGUGGUCAAGUGACCAUCAGAUAAGGAGAUUAGUACAGAGCAGUCAUCUCAGUGGAAGCCAGGUGUUAUUCACCAAGACAUCAAGAAGAACCUCAAAGGUAACUGAGAAAUCAUCAGGACUGCCACGCCAUUACAGACCCCAAAUUCAAAAGCUGUAGCAAGGAGUAAAUCACGCAUGCUGACAAUGUCAGCAACAUUCUAUCACACAGUUUAGGAAAAUAAUAAUAAUGUAAACCAAAUGUGGUAAGAUAUUAACAAUGUCAAAGUUACUGUUCUUUCAUUAAACUUCUCCGAAUGUUUCAA